CUCAAGAUACAGCUCCCAUUGACGAGUUGCCUACCGAUAAGAUACCAUUCGCUCCUAUCAGACCCGAGUCUCCUGGCGUAUCUCUCGCCCAUUCUACCCCUACGUCUUUGAGAGCAUGGACUAUUCCAAAAAUUACGACCGAACUUAGGCUUAGGGGCAUCCCCUUUCCUGCUACGGCUCAUAAGGCGGAACUCUACAGACUUUUGAC